UGAGGAAGGUUCUCUCCCUAGAGAUUGCUCUUCUUGGGGUUUUUCCUAUGAGCCCAGAACACAGAGCUUCUAAAUGAAGGACUUAACUGUUUUUGAGGCAGAAGGCUGACAAGGAUCUGGCUUGGCACUACACCAGACAAAACCUGUCAUCUUGUAUUCUUUCCACACUCUACUGUGUUGUUGUUUGUGUGGAACCUGCAUGCCAACACAACAGCACAGAGGCACUACCAGCUUCAACAGGUACUGAGCUGGGAUUUCAGGAACCUGAGCCUGGGCAGUAACAGCCAGCUUAACCUGGGCUGCUUUUUUAGCCUACUGUCUUCAAAGCACUGCUCAUUUGUCAACUUCUUUAACACAGUGAUUUGCACCUUCAGAUGAGGAAAAAUAAACCUCAUAAUUGACAGCUUAGCCAAGAAGCAACCUGGGAAGGUUUUUUUUUUUGUAACCGGCCCAUGCUUUAAUUUUUAAUUGUCCUUAAGCACCAGGCUUCAUCACCAUCAUUAGUAUUUACACCAGACAGCUUUCAAUAUUUAUUUGGUCUUUUCUGUUUGUUUGCUUGAUGUCACCAGAAUGUCUGUUUCCCCCUGGGCUGUUAACCCACAGGAAAAAAAGAAAGUUACCUGCAGAAAGCUCUCAUUCAAAAAACCUCUCUUUAAAACAUUCCCUGCUGCAUCCCACAACCUGCAACGAGUCCUGACAGGAGAGCGGGAACCGCUUCAAUAAAUACCACAGCCAAAGCAGGAAGAAGCUGAAGUCUCACACAGGGCCGCGGGGCUGCGCCCACACGAGCCCUCACAGCGGGACCCCAGCACAGGCUGCGCCCUCCGCACAGCUCCCGCCCCAGCAGCGCGGGGCGCCCUCAGCGACAUGGCGGGAGCUGAGGCGGGGCGGGCAGCGCUGGGCUGUACCACU